rnacentral:rRNA from 1 species
UACGUAGGGUGCGAGCGUUAAUCGGAAUUACUGGGCGUAAAGAGCGUGUAGGCGGUUUGGUGGGUCCGCUGUGAAAACUCGAGGCUCAACCUCGAGACGCCGGUGGAAACCAUCAGACUAGAGUCCGGAAGAGGAGAGUGGAAUUCCUGGUGUAGCGGUGAAAUGCGCAGAUAUCAGGAAGAACACCCGUGGCUAAGGCGGCUCUCUAGUACGGUACUGACGCUGAGACGCGAAAGCGUGGGGAGCGAACAGG